GUUUGGUUAGGUAGAUUCCAGACUGUCUGGGCUGGGCCAAUAAGGUUUGGUUAGGUAGAUUCCAGACUGUCUGGGUUGGGCCAAUAAGGUUUGGUUAGGUAGAUUCCAGACUGUCUGGGUUGGACCAAUAAGGUUUGGUUAGGUAGAUUCCAGACUGUCUGAGCUGGGCCAAUAAGAUUUGGUUAGGUAGAUUCAAGACUGUCAGGGAUGGGCCAAUGAGGUUUGGUUAGGUAGAUUCCAGACUGUCUGGGCUGGGCCAAUAAGGUUUGGUUAGGUAGGCCUGAGGUAUAAUUCAGACUAGCGGACUGGGCCUCAUAUUGGACCCAAAACAUUCCUGUACAUGUAUAUUAGGUGCUGUAUUUAAUUGCUGGAAUGUUUUGUGUAUGUCUUGUUUUGUCUUUAUUGGGGUGUAAUUGAAUAUUUUAUGUGUAGGCACACGAAAACCCGAGAUUUGAGAUGAAGUAGGUAUGACCGUUAAAAUGAUCACUUACCUGGGCAAAGAUAUAUGCAUAAAUAGAAACAAUUAUACUGAGUAAAUGUAAUAAAUGUGUUUUUUCCUUUGAUCUUAAGUUUAAUUUUUCGCUGCUGGCCGGGCACUGUAUUAAAUUAUUUGUCAAAUUCAACUGAUUCAUGUUCCAGGUUAAAUAGAACAACUGAGACCAGAGCCUUGAUUUAUGACUUUAUUAUGCUUACAGUGGGCAGAACAAGUAUUUGAUACACUGCCGAUUUUGCAGGUUAUCCUACUUACAAAGCAUGUAGAGGUCUGUAAUUUUUUAUCAUAGGUACACUUCAACUGUGAGAGA
ensembl:lncRNA